UGGCUCAGGAUGAACGCUAGCGGCAGGCCUAACACAUGCAAGCCGAGGGGUAUUAGGAGCUUGCUUCUGAGAGACCGGCGCACGGGUGAGUAACGCGUAUGCAAUCUACCUUUCACAAGAGAAUAGCCCGGAGAAAUCCGGAUUAAUGCUCUAUAGUUUAUAGAACUGGCAUCGGUUUUAUGAUAAAGAUUUAUCGGUGAAAGAUGAGCAUGCGUCUCAUUAGCUAGUUGGUGUGGUAACGGCAUACCAAGGCAAUGAUGAGUAGGGGUCCUGAGAGGGAGAUCCCCCACACUGGUACUGAGACACGGACCAGACUCCUACGGGAGGCAGCAUUGAGGAAUAUUGGUCAAUGGAGGC
rnacentral:rRNA from 1 species